rnacentral:rRNA from 1 species
GACGAACGCUGGCGGCGUGCUUAACACAUGCAAGUCGAACGGAAAGGCCCUGCUUUUGUGGGGUGCUCGAGUGGCGAACGGGUGAGUAACACGUGAGUAACCUGCCCUUGACUUUGGGAUAACUUCAGGAAACUGGGGCUAAUACCGGAUAGGAGCUCCUGAUGCAUGGUGGGGGUUGGAAAGUUUCGGCGGUUGGGGAUGGACUCGCGGCUUAUCAGCUUGUUGGUGGGGUAGUGGCUUACCAAGGCUUUGACGGGUAGCCGGCCUGAGAGGGUGACCGGCCACAUUGGGACUGAGAUACGGCCCAGACUCCUACGGUAGGCAGCAGUGGGGAAUAUUGCACAAUGGGCGGAAGCCUGAUGCAGCAACGCCGCGUGCGUGAUGACGGCCUUCGGGGUGUAAACCGCUUUCGCCUGUGACGAAGCGUGAGUGACGGUAAUGGGUAAAGAAGCACCGGCUAACUACGUG